rnacentral:rRNA from 1 species
GAUGAACGCUAGCUACAGGCUUAACACAUGCAAGUCGAGGGGAAACGACAUCGAAAGCUUGCUUUUGAUGGGCGUCGACCGGCGCACGGGUGAGUAACGCGUAUCCAACCUGCCCACCACUUGGGGAUAACCUUGCGAAAGUAAGACUAAUACCCAAUGACGUCUCUAGAAGACAUCUGAAAGGGAUUAAAGAUUUAUCGGUGAUGGAUGGGGAUGCGUCUGAUUAGCUUGUUGGCGGGGUAACGGCCCACCAAGGCAACGAUCAGUAGGGGUUCUGAGAGGAAGGUCCCCCACAUUGGAACUGAGACACGGUCCAAACUCCUACGGGAGGCAGCAGUGAGGAAUAUUGGUCAAUGGGCGAGAGCCUGAACCAGCCAAGUAGCGUGCAGGGACGACGGCCCUAUGGGUUGUAAACUGCUUUUAUACGGGGAUAAAGUGAGCCACGUGUGACUUAUUGCAGGUACCGUAUGAAUAAGGACGGCUAAUUCCGUG